rnacentral:SRP_RNA from 1 species
GGUUGGGCUUCACGCGGCGUAAGCUUGUGAACCCCGCCAGGACCGGAAGGUAGCAACGGUAAGCGAGUCCUUACGGGUGCCGUGAAAUACCUCAACUCU